UACGGGAGGCAGCAGUGGGGAAUAUUGCACAAUGGGCGAAAGCCUGAUGCAGCUAUGCCGCGUGUAUGAAGAAGGCCUUAGGGUUGUAAAGUACUUUCAUCGGGGAGGAAAAAACAAAACUAAUAAUUUUAUUUCUUGACGUUACCCGAAAAAGAAGCACCGGCUAACUCCGUGCCAGCAGCCGCGGUAAUACGGAGGGUGCUAGCGUUAAUCAGAAUUACUGGGCGUAAAGAGCACGUAGGUGGUUUUUUAAGUUCAGAUGUGAAAUCCCUGGGCUUUAACCUAGGAACUGCAUUUUGAAACUGAAAUACUAGAGUAUCGUAGAGGGAGGUAGAAUUCUAGGUGUAGCGGUGAAAUGCGUAGAUAUCUGGAGGAAUACCUGUGGCGAAAGCGGCCUCCUAAACGAAUACUGACACUGAGGUGCGAAAGCGUGGGGAGCAAACAGGGAUUAGAUACC
rnacentral:rRNA from 1 species